GGGGCUGGGUUGGUAUUAUGCAAAUGAAAAAGAAUCAUGUUAUAAAGUCUUGAUCUGAUGCUGUCAGCUGCAGAGGAGGAGAAACUCCCAUCAGAUCAUCUUCAGCACCAACAUGUUCUCUGUAGCUCUGCUGCUGCUGGCUGCUGCAUCCUGUAUAAAGUGUGAACAGUUGACACAACCAGCCUCUCAGACAGUGCAGCCAGGUCAACGUCUGACCAUCAGCUGUCAGGUCUCUUAUUCUCUGGGCUAUGCAACACACUGGAUCAGACAACCUGCAGGGAAAGGACUGGAGUGGAUUGGACGGAAAUAUACUGGAGGCUCAGACUACAAAGAUUCACUUCGGAACAAAUUCAGUAUAGAUUUAGACACUUCCAGUAAAACAGUGACUCUGAAUGGACAGAAUAUGCAGCCUGGAGACUCUGCUGUGUAUUACUGUGCCAGAGAGCCACAGUGA